UGGGGAAUUUUGCACAAUGGGGGAAACCCUGAUGCAGCGACGCCGCGUGAUUUAGAAGGCCUUCGGGUUGUAAAAAUCUUUUGUAUGGGAAGAAAAUGACAGUACCAUACGAAUAAGGACCGGCUAAUUACGUGCCAGCAGCCGCGGUAAUACGUAAGGUCCGAGCGUUGUCCGGAAUCAUUGGGCGUAAAGGGUACGUAGGCGGAUAAGCAAGUUAGAAGUGAAAUCCUAUAGCUCAACUAUAGUAAGCUUUUAAAACUGCUCAUCUUGAGGUAUGGAAGGGAAAGUGGAAUUCCUAGUGUAGCGGUGAAAUGCGCAGAUAUUAGGAGGAAUACCGGUGGCGAAGGCGACUUUCUGGCCAUAUACUGACGCUGAGGCGCGAAAGCGUGGGGAGCAAACAGG
rnacentral:rRNA from 1 species